CAGAUCUCUUAUUGAAUCUCACUGCAUAUUCUCAAGUACCCAGAAAUCAAAAUCACUCGGUUUCCAUGUUUCCCGCAAAACCCACUUCAAGAUUCAUCCUUUUCACCCUCUCUCUCCUUCUACUCAUCUCAUUCUUCACCACCACCACCAUUGCAAUUGCCUCUGAUCUUGACACUGUCAAGGCAGAGAUUACUGUCAAGGUAUGCUAAUUUAGUUCCUUAAUUUCUCUUGUUUUUGGUAUCUAAUUUUGUUUUUUUGUUAUAUUUAACUCAGGUUAGUUUAACUCAUAAAACCUUCUAGGUGAUUUUUUCUAGUCAUGCUAUGCUCACAAAAACAAAAAUUAAAAAUAAAUAACUUUGGUGGGUGAAAAGUUGAAGCAUGAGUAAUCAAGGAAUGAUUUUAAUACAGAAGGAAUUUUAAUUCUGUUUGGUUUUAUGUAGUUAAAAUGCGCAAGGCUAAUAAACGGAUUUUGUAGUGGAAUAAUCUCAAAAUUCUAUAAUGAAGCUGCCACUGUGUUUUGUAGCUAAAAUGAGGCAAUUGGAUUGGCUAAGAGAUGAGAUUAAUUGUAACAAAAGCUCAUGUCUGUAAUCAAAUUUUAGGUUCAUAUCAUAUGCAUUCUGAAUUUUUUCUGGCUGCCUAAAGGACAUUUGAUCUUUGCAGAGCUUAUCAAUGCACAACUUCUAUGUCGGUGAGGGUUCAGACUCCACUGGAGUUCCAACAAAGAUGCUAACAAUGAAUGGCUCAUUGAAGAUAAGCGUGUACAACCCUGCUACAAUAUUUGGCAUUCAUGUCAGCUCCACGCCUAUCGAUGUCGUCUACUCAGAGAUUGUUAUUGCAACUGGGCAGGUGAGAACUCUGGUCUCAAACAUGUCAACAACAACGAAAAAUGUUAGUUUUUUCGGUCGUAUUAAACUUCUCAAUGCUAACAAGCAAAAGCCCUAAUCAUCUUGCAACGCUGCAACUUGUGAUGACUUGCAGUUGAAGAAAUAUUAUCAGCCAAGGAAAAGUCACCGAACUGUGUCGGUGAACUUGCAAGGUAACAAGGUUCCACUCUACGGGGCAGGAUCAGGUUUGACAAUUACUCCAACCGGAGGUGAAGUUCCGUCGACACUGAAGUUUGGAAUCCGAUCAAGAGGAGAAGCUGUGGGAAAGCUGGUGAAGACAACACACAAGAAGCAAAUUACCUGCCCUUUAGUCAUCGACAUUCUCAGCACUAAGCCCAUCAAGUUCAAGAAGAAUGCAUGCACAUAUGACUGAUCAGACCGAAUGUUGGUUGAUGAAGUGUUGAGUUUUGUAUAAGUUGCUCAUGUUUUUCCUGUUAUUGUAUUUUCUGGAUUGCGGCCUGGGUUUCUUCCACUUCAUAAGGAAAAAUGAGAUGUAUUCAUAGUCCUUUUAAGGUUCACGCAAGCAAUAUGCAAAGCUAUGUUGCACGUACGAUAUGUUUAGUCUUUUGAAAGGAUCAUGGAAGUGAAAUAAUGUUUGCCAAGAAUGUAAAUCAACAGAGGAGAUUGUGUAUAAUUCUAUGCUUGUUGCUUAGAGUCCAUCUUUCUUGCUGCUGCAUUCCAAACCCAAUGAGGUUCCGUGUGUGCAUUAAAUCUUAAAGUAAGCGUUUAAAUAAGUCAACUAAAUAUUUUAUUGUCUCUUCUCAUAUAAAAUUGUGUUUCAUAUGGUAACUCGGGCUUACUAAGACAAGCAGGCUAGCAAAAAUGGAAAUAUAGUAAACAUUAACAUUCUAUGGCAAAAAUAAAUUAAUUUAAUAAAAGUCAUGAAAAUUUAAUCUCAAUAAAAUUAUACCACACUAUCUUCUUUAAUUGGUAAAAUCGGAUAUUUGACCCAAAAAAAUAAAAAAUAAAAAAAAAUAAAAAGCGAAAGUUUUGGAUCAUUGGAAUUAGUAUUUCUUUUGGAAAAAAAAUAAAUAUAAAUAAAACAAGAAUAAAAAAGAGGACCAAAGGGGUGCACGUCCAUAACUUUAGUAGUUUCUUUGACUGUCGACAGCUCCCCUUGUAUCUUCAUUUCGCAUUGUUUUAGUUAAAAAUCUUUUCACGCAAAACCCUCACAAGUCCAGAUCUCUUAUUGAAUCUCACUGCAUAUUCUCAAGUACCCAGAAAUCAAAAUCACUCGGUUUCCAUGUUUCCCGCAAAACCCACUUCAAGAUUCAUCCUUUUCACCCUCUCUCUCCUUCUACUCAUCUCAUUCUUCACCACCACCACCAUUGCCAUUGCCUCUGAUCUUGACACUGAAAAUGGUAAUGAUAACGAUGACGUGGAUAAUGAACUUGAUGAGUUACUAGCAAUUGAUCAAGAAGAGCAAGAACAUGAACAAGAUUCUCAAGUGGAUGAUGCGGACUCGAAAUUCUCU
rnacentral:lncRNA from 1 species